rnacentral:rRNA from 1 species
UACGAGGGGGGCAAGCGUUGUUCGGAAUUAUUGGGCGUAAAGGGCGCGUAGGCGGUGCGGUAAGUCACCUGUGAAAACUCUGGGCUCAACUCAGAGCCUGCAGGCGAAACUGCCGUGCUUGAGUGUGGGAGAGGUGCGUGGAAUUCCCGGUGUAGCGGUGAAAUGCGUAGAUAUCGAGAGGAACACCUGCGGCGAAGGCGGGUUGCUGGGCUGAUACUGACGCUGAGGCGCGAAAGCCAGGGGAGCGAACGGG